ensembl:lncRNA novel transcript
CCGAGCACCGUGGAGCACCGGCUGCCAGCUGAGACCCCAGAGGGGUAACUAACGGCCUGAGGAAGGCAUUUCUUCGGGGAACAUGGCGUGCCCGUCGUGGCUACGUUCUGCCAAGCCCUGUGACGUUGGAGGGGAGCCGCCUGCAUCCCCCGCUCAGCCAGUGUUUCUAGACUCCGAGACAUCUGGAACUCGGAAGUGAGGCCAGGGCUCCAGGAAGACUCCCUGAUGACGCACUGGCCCGCAGCCCAGGCUCAGCUUGGGAGCUAUUGGAAAACAGGCAUCUGGAACCACAGUCUGCAGACCCCUGUGUGUACUCACUGUCAGUGCGGUGGGAACAAAAAGGCAGCAACGGCUGGGUCAGCCCAGGAAAGAAGACAUUUCCCAGUGGAGAGAAUGUCUGAGUGGAUAUUGAACUUUCCAGGCCACAAAGAGGAACAAGAGCAUUCAACACUGAGGAGCCUGCCUCUGCAAAGGCAGGACCCACAUGCUGGAUGUGGAGCUGGAUGGUUCCACGUGGCAAGGUUUGGGAGGCUUCUGAGAACCUGGCCUAAUGAUUCCUGUUUCCUCCCUUUUCAGUCAUCAUCCGUUUGCAGCCUCUCUUUGGUAGCCCAUGCCCCUGGAGGGUCCUUGUUUUCAGGCAAGAAGAUAUCUCAGCUCAUCAUGUACAUUUCUGCCCCAGCCCUAGAAUCAGACAUUUCUCCAAGGAGUCCUGGUUCCUUUCAGUGGGAAAUGUUCUUAGAGACAUUAUAAUCUGGACACUAACGAUGUCUGUGGAAUUUUUACAAGAUCGCCUUGGCUUCUCUGUGCAUGAUGAACUGGAGGGACAAGACCAGGCCAGAGAGACAGGUCAAGAGACUUUCGCAGUGGCCCAAGUGAGAUAUAACAGUGGCUUGAACUUGAUCUUAGGUAA